rnacentral:piRNA from 1 species
GUUGUUAAGGAUUCUCAUGAAGU